UCAAAAUGGGUGGUAAAUUUCAUUUAAAGCUAAAUACCGGCUGGAGACCGAUAGCGCACAAGUAGAGUGAUCGAAAGAUGAAAAGCACUUUGGAAAGAGAGUUAAAAAGCACGUGAAAUUGUUGAAAGGGAAGCGCUUGCGACCAGACCUGCCCGUGGGUGAUCAGCCGCCGUUCUCGGCGGUGCACUCGCCCGCGAUCAGGCCAGCAUCGGUUCGAGCGGCCGGACAAAGGCCGCGGGAAUGUAGCUUCCUCCGGGGAGUCUUAUAGCCCGCGGCGCAAUGCGGCCAGCCCGGAUCGAGGACCGCGCUUCGGCUAGGAUGCUGGCGUAAUGGUUGCAAGCGACCCGUCUUGAAACACGGACCAAGGAGUCUAACAUCUAUGCGAGUGUUUGGGUGUCAAACCCAUGCGCGUAAUGAAAGUAAACGGAGGUGAGAACCCGUCAGGGCGCAUCAUCGACCGAUCCUGAUGUCUUCGGAUGGAUUUGAGUACGAGCAUAGCUGUUGGGACCCGAAAGAUGGUGAACUAUGCCUGAAUAGGGUGAAGCCAGAGGAAACUCUGGUGGAGGCUCGCAGCGGUUCUGACGUGCAAAUCGAUCGUCAAAUUUGGGUAUAGGGGCGAAAGACUAAUCGAACCAUCUAGUAGCUGGUUCCUGCCGAAGUUUCCCU
rnacentral:rRNA from 1 species